CGAAGCCUUCGACUGUUCUCUUCCUUCUCCACCAUGAGUUGAGGCAUGGUCUCAUCCAGCGACUCCAGCAAAGUCACCAAAACAUCAUGAGGCAAGUUCUUUGGAAUCACAACAACACAGAUCUUCCCGCGGGCAUUGUACACCUUCAUCAGCUCCGUGAUCACGUGUCGAUCAAUACAAGUCCUCUGCUGCCGCAGCGGCAAGAUGACCGG
rnacentral:lncRNA from 1 species